GCCAGGUGCAGUGGUGUGUACCUGUAAUCCCAGCCACUUGGGAGGCUGAGACAAGAGGAUCACAAAAUCAAGGUCACACUGGGCAAUUUAGCAAGCCCUGUCUCAA
rnacentral:sRNA from 1 species